UUCCUACGGGGGGCAGCAGUAGGGAAUCUUCCACAAUGGGCGAAAGCCUGAUGGAGCAACGCCGCGUGGGUGAAGAAGGUCUUCGGAUCGUAAAACCCUGUUGUUAGAGAAGGAAGUGCGUGAGAGUAACUGUUCACGUUUCGACGGUAUCUAACCAGAAAGCCACGGCUAACUACGUGCCAGCAGCCGCGGUAAUACGUAGGUGGCAAGCGUUAUCCGGAUUUAUUGGGCGUAAAGGGAACGCAGGCGGUCUUUUAAGUCUGGAGUGAAAGGUACCGGCUCAACCGGUACAGGCUCUUGAAACU
rnacentral:rRNA from 1 species